UACGUAGGAUGCGAGCGUUGUCCGGAAUUAUUGGGCGUAAAGAGCGUGUAGGCGGCCAGGUAGGUCAGCUGUGAAAACUCGAGGCUCAACCUCGAGACGUCGGUUGAAACCACCUGGCUAGAGUCCGGAAGAGGAGAGUGGAAUUCCUGGUGUAGCGGUGAAAUGCGUAGAGAUUAGGAAGAACACCAGUGGCGAAGGCGACUUACUGGACUGUAACUGACGCUGAGGCAUGAAAGCGUGGGGAGCAAACAGG
rnacentral:rRNA from 1 species